CGGUACUGUUACAUCAUUAAGGAACUCUAGGUCCUUAUUUACAUGUCAAGGAUCAAGGAUCUUCAAGUCCGAUCUCUUGUUUACAUGUAUAGUACCGGAGAGACUGCCAGCUCUCAUAUCAAUAUCAUCAUCAAGGAUCUUCAAGUCCUGAUGUAAAUGUAUGAUGAGGAUCAAGGAACUUCUGGUCCUGAUCUGUAUACUGUAAAAACUCAUCAUACAGCACAAUUAAUCCAUAAAAUAAAUUUACUGUUAAAUAAAUUACUUGUAUGGACGUUAAUCCCGCACCAUACUUUAAAUGUGCGGUAAAGUAAAUUCAUAAAUUAAAUUGCUGUAUGGACGUUAAUCCCGCACCAUACUUUAAAUGUGCGGUAAAGUAAACGUGCUUGUAUGGGCACUAAUUCUGCUCCAUACAUUUAAAUGACAGUAAAGGCGUGGACGAUAAACCCGCACCACCCUUUAAAGUAAAUUUACGAUAAAGUAAAUGUGCUUGUAUGGGCACUAAUUCUGCUCCAUACAUUUAAAUGACAGUAAAGCAGUAAAGGCGUGGACGAUAAACCCGCACCACCCUUUAAAGUAAAUUUACGAUAAAGUAAAUGUGCUUGUAUGGAUAAUAAACCUACACCAUACAGUAAAUAAAAUAAUUACGGAAUGAAUAAAGUAAAGACAAUUAUUUGUGGGUUCAUAUCAACACCACAAUCAAAUAGUAUGAUAUUAUUAUACUGAUAUAUCAAAUCAUUUUAUAUUCUUUCCACUUGCAAUCUACACUGGUCAGGAGUAUUAAAUAAUAUAAUUAAUUAAAAGAGAUAGAGUGAGGCAGGAUACUUAUCCCUUUAUUUCGGUGGGUGUUCACAUGUCUGGCAAUAAUUCUUUGUUUUGGAUUGGUGCUGGGUUGAAGGUUAGCUGGGAGAUAACUUUUCAUGAUUGCUAGCAUACAAACAAACUGGACCAGGCGUGGGCACACAAGCUGGACCAGGCGCUCCCCUUUUUUUGUUUUGUUUUUUUUUUUUGUAUCUGGAUCAAUCAGUCGACUUGCAUCUUUGGCCGUCCCUGCAACUCCGCAUCCAAAUCAAUUCCAUUUACUCCUCACUUUUCUCCACCUCUCAACAGCAACACAACGAACACAAACUGCUGCUCAAGAAUUAGAAGGCAGAGCCCAGCAAGACUUUUAAGUCUCCUUCUCCUUCUAUCUACGAAAGAAGUUCUGCUGAAUUUAGUCCAAAAGUUGCAUUAUAGCAACCUUUAAUUGCUGUCCCACCAAAUGGAUGGUUCAGAUUUCAGCUUUAGCCAUGAUUUCUAAGAUGGUCAAGCUCUAUGGCUGUCAGUAGAAAGAUGAGCAUGAGCAAAAUCAGGGGGGGGUUGCUGAGUUUUGCAGAGAGAAAGAGAAAGAGCGAUGCUCUGAAUUUUAAGAGAUAGAGAAAUCGUGCUGAUAACGUGUUAUAAACUAAAAGAAAAGAUUGGAGAGGGAAUUGAGGUAGAGAGCAGAUCUCAUUAUUGAAUGUUUCUGUUCUUAUCAAUUACAGAGGGA
rnacentral:lncRNA from 1 species